rnacentral:rRNA from 1 species
GGUAAUACCGAAUGUGGUUGCGCGACUAUGGUUGUGCAAAGAAAGGGGUUAUGGCCCCGCCUUAAGAUGGGCCCGCGUCCCAUUAGCUAGUUGGUAAGGUAAAGGCUUACCAAGGCGAUGAUGGUAGCCGGCCUGAGAGGGUGAACGGCCACACUGGGACUGAGAUACGGCCCAGACUCCUACGGGAGGCAGCAGCUAAGAAUAUUCCGCAAUGGACGAAAGUCUGACGGAGCGACGCCGCGUGGAUGACGAAGGCCGAAAGGUUGUAAAGUCCUUUUAUUGCUGAAGAAUAAGUGUGGGAGGGAAUGCCCGCAUGAUGACGUUAGGCAAUGAAUAAGCCCCGGCUAAUUACGUGCCAGCAGCCGCGGUAACACGUAAGGGGCAAGCGUUGUUCGGAAUUAUUGGGCGUAAAGGGCGCGUAGGCGGUUAAUCAAGUCUGACGUGAAAUUCUCAAGCUUAACUUGGGAACUGCGUUGGAAACUGGAGAACUUGAGUCAUGGAGGGGGAGUUGGAAUUCCUAGUGUAGGGGUGAAAUCUGUAGAUAU